rnacentral:tRNA from 1 species
UCUGGUUUAGCAUAUAUAAACUUCAACAGUAUAAGUAACUUUAAGGCUUGAAGAGCCAGUCAGGU